UAUAUAUCAAAGAGAGGAAGGAAAGAAGAGAAACAUUGAUUGGUUGCCUCCCAAAUACACCUGGAUGGGGGAUCAAACCCAUAACCUGGGUUAAGUGCCCUCACUGGGGAUCAAACCAGCACCUUCUGAGCCACCUCGGCCAGGGCAGGUUUUGCUUUUAAAUGGGAGAAGGAGCCCACAGAGGCAAGUAUGCGAAGGGCCCAUGACACUCAUCAUGCUGCCCUGAGUAAGCAGGACUUGGGCACCGAUCUGGUCUCCGCUGAAGGCCAGGGCGGUCAGAGAAACGCCCAGCCUCUCCCCAGGAGCACAGACACGCCCAGGGCAGUUCUGGGAGCUGAGUGCGCACCUGUCCCUGGGAAGGGACACUCGGCCUGCUGGCCGCUCUCCCUGGUGGGCAAACUGCACGGGCUCAACUCCUGGCCUAAAGCAGCCAGUACUGGAGCAGCCACCAACGGCACCAUAACUGGGGCCCCGCCAGGAGGUCGGCCUCCUUUCCCUCCAGGUCUCUGAGGAGACAGUGUAGACGGAGGUAGUGACCGUGCUCAUGGAAGGGGCGUGUUGCUUUUAAUGAAGGCGUCACCAGAGUUGGAAAUCCACACUUGAGCUGUGCAAGUUCAGGAUUGCACAACCUGAGGCAGAAACCAUGAAAUGAGAACAGAGGCCUGAGGGAUGAGCAGUCCUGAGUUCCUUCCAGGUGAGCGGCGCUGUUGCCCAGCAGAAGCAGCCACACGGGGGCAGCUCAGACCUUCUCUCUCACCGCUGCCCCUCACUCUUCCCCAAGGACACCGAUCGAGGAAACAGAGGGAGAGACCUGUCUGGGAUAGUAGACUUCGGAGCAUGAACGCCACCAAGAAGCUUCCCUCAUUCCAUUUCCUCUUUGCCAGGACCGCCUGGGCCCCUGCAGGGACUCGCCCUCCCAGCCUGCACUGAGAGAUGGAGCGGAACGCAUUCCGAAGAGCAGUGAAGACGCGCGUGAGGAAGGUUCUAGCACAUGGCUUCCAGCAGUGACCACCUGACAGCACCCUCUUCCUCUGUGAGUUUCCUGAAGUGACCAACGUGAAUAUAAGAACAAUCACCGACUGGGUACUUCCUACCUGCCAGCGCUUACGGUGGCAUUUCACCGAAUUAUCCGAACAGCCCAGUGAGGUUGUACUGUUCUUGUCAACCUUGGUUUCAUAGACUGACAGAGGGAGUGUGUGACUCAAAGUUUCGUGACUAAUAAAAGUGGAUUCCAACCCAGACAGGCACCUGCCUCCAGGCCCUUGCUCCUCCCCAAGCCGCUCAGAACUCCAGGGUGAAACCCAGCCCAGACUCUGUGAACGGCAGCCCCUGGGAGUCGGCCUCCGUGUGCCCUGCACUGGCUGGGUCCUGGCAGCCUGGAUGCGCGCGGAAUGCUCAACACGCCCCAGGGCUCCCCACGCGGCCACCUGGCUACAGCCCCGCCCGCGCCUGUCUGCAGCAAUUUCUCUCAAAGGCGAGGCUUCCUGCGGAUCUGUUCCCGAGCAUCUGCAGGCGAGACGGUGUGCGGGAAGGCGUCUGCGUGCAGGAAAACAGGGGCCGUCAGCACCUCGCCUUCACGGGGCAGGAAAAGCUGGAGGUGGGAAAUAAUUGCUUCGAUGACGCCCCCAGGAGGAGAGACCGGGCUGGAAUGGCCAGGGGGAGGCAGCUUCCUUUUUUUUCUUCCUUCUUGUUUUUAAGCCAGAUGCCUUCCAGAAGCCGCUGCAGGUUAGAUGGUAUCGUAGCUUUGCUUCAUUCAUUUCUUCAUGGGCUUGGCGUGGUCCUCUCUGCUCCGGAACCACGCCUGCCUCUUACCACAAACCUCGUCAUGGAAAGAUCUGCAGCGUCCGUGUGCAUGGAAACCAAACAAUGGGCACCGACGGGAGCAGGUGCACGAAGCUCCGGGCGGAGGGGUGACCUGGUUGAAGUGGCCCCGGGAAAUGUGGGGGCGGCCGGGCAGUCCCAGCAGAGGGAGAUCUCCCUGGGCCUCUUCCAAACACCUGAGAACAGCAUUCUGGGAAAGAAGCCUGGUUUGGGGUGGUAUCCCGCCCCUGGAGUAUGAAAUCUUGUUUGUCAUUGUCUCUGUAACUGAAAGGCAAAAACAGAAAAUCCUACAAACUGGACACCUCCCCCGUUGUCACUCUCUUCAUUUUACUUUCAAUUCCAUUGAAAUGUGUUGGAAAGCACUUCCUGUGACUUAAAAAUAGGGGCAUUUUGGUUCAUAGUAGUAUUUCAUGCUUUGUACUUAAGUGUAAUAUACGUGUCAGGUUUUGGAUUUUUUAUUCCCUGGAUCGCAAAUUCCAUGGUAUGUGAAGUUCACAUUUGCCCGUGGGCCUGCUUUGCUACUAUUUGAAGCACUUUCCUCCCCGUCACCAUCUUUCCCCCUGGAAGAUGCCAAGCUGCGCUGUCGCGUAGACGCCUGGCGUUGACUCUGACGGGCAUGUCGCCUCCCUGGGCUGUUCCUCCCCAGCUUUCCGGUUGCAGGAAAUGGUCACAGGUGCUCAAGUCAAAACCCCCGAGUGAGUCUGUCCCUCCUCAAACCCGCACCCUGGCCGUCAGCUAGUCCAGUGGACUCUACAUUCGAGACGCUAUAAACCGGGCCAUCUCCUGCCACCCUCGUCCUAGGGGCUUCCCAGGUCGCCUCUCUAGACUCUCUGCGUCCCCAACACCCCCCGUGAGGUAGCCAGAGGGACCUUAUGAAAGCAUAACCCACAACAUGUAACUUUAGUCAGUCUCGCAGUCAACAAAUGUUUGCACGCGUUGCACCAGCACCGUUCUAGCACUUUCCGGGCCUUGCAUUCUUGCCAGGGAGAGGACAAUCAAUCAAAUUAAGGAACGAAGCCCUGACCGGUGUGGCUCAGUGGUUGAGCUUCCUCCCACGAACCAAGAGGUCGCCAGUCCUAUUCCUGGUCAGGGCACAUGCCUGG